GCACGUAGUUAGCCGAGACUUAUUCCUGAAGAUACUGUCCUUUCUCAUCUCCCAGAAAAGUGCUUUACGACCCGAAGGCCUUCAUCGCACACGCGGCGUUGCUGCAUCAGGCUUUCGCCCAUUGUGCAAUAUUCCCUA
rnacentral:rRNA from 1 species